CCCCAGCUGAUGUGGAGCUCUUCUUUGAAGAUGUCCAGCAAACGAAUGAAGAAUUACAGAAUUUGAAAACUUCACAAACUCUAAUAAAUGAUUCAGGCAAUAAUCCUCAAUGAAUAUGAAAACCAUUAAUAGGUUGAUGAGGAACUCAUUAUCACAGGACACCAGAAACUCAAGUGCACCAGCUGCUCCGUGGCUGAAGGGAGAAGGCAGAUCUUCACAAGACAGUGGCCGACUCUCAGCAUGCACCCCGCUGGCGUGAGACCCCCAGUGGAGGCAAGCAGGCCUCACACGAUGGUAGAAUGUGGCCAUCUAUGCAGAGCUCCCCACGAGGGACUCUGCUUCAAAAGGCACAGACUGACUCAAACUAAGGCUUUGGAUCUAAGUUCCAGUUCUCAGGAAACACAGGAACAUGGCACCCAACACCACACAGGAGCAGCCAGGACAUCUGGAAAGUGAGAGCGCCCGGAGGAAACCCGGCCUGCACACUCCUCUGCCGUCCGAGAAGGGGCCCAGGAGAGACCCGGGUCGACCAGGACCCAAGGAUUGAGAACAAUGGACUUUUUGAUGUGUGUUGCAACAAAUGCAUAGCCGAGAGCUGUAAAUCGGAGGGACCACCAGGUCUGCCCACCAGCCACGAGGGAAGUGGGGAGAAGCUGUCACCCCAACUUGAGUUUCAAGAAGACUCCUUGGAGGAAAAGACCACCAAAUUGAGAAUGAAAAGAUCAUACAUGGGCAUCGUCAGACAUGGUCUGAGACCUGCUGGGAAGAACAGCAGCCUGGCCCUGCUACCCCCUGGCUUCUGCUCACAGCACUGACCCCAGUUAAUCCAAGAACAUGUCAACUAUAAUGAGAAUAUUGAAGAAAAAUCAACCAUCUUCCAGAUGUGUCUAUAUCAUGAUACGGUACAUGGGUAAGGACAGUAAGUUGUAACUAUUCUUGAGAUGGGGCAGUGGCUCCAUGCUCUGGCCCCUCACCUCAGCAGAUGUCCCAGCUCAUCACCCUGAGUGCCAGCUUUCCCAUCCCAUCUCAGGAUCUGCACUGGACGGGCACCAGGGCUUUCUUCAGUGAACAUCUAAACUCUCUCAAGUGUCUCCAGAGACUUUCACACAUCUACAAAGAUGACCUCAUUCUGUAAGAGUGUGGAUUUAACCUGCUCUUCGAUGUCACUCCUUCACAGAGUGCACUGUUCAUCGUCACCCUAUCCACUAGCGUCAGUCUUACUAAAAGUCAAACAUCAACGUUAGUGGUAACUCUGGAGGCCUGGCAUUGUAGCGUUAUCCACAAGAGAAAAUUGUUUUAAACCUUUCUGGGAAAAGUUCACGUACCUUUUAUUAAAAAGCUAGUUUUUAUAAUCUCUCUACCAUGUGGCUUUCCUGAAGAAUGAAAUUUCUAACGUCCUUCAAGUAGAGAGAGGUAAACAUUUUUCUAGAACAUUAAUUGCCCACUCUUCUCAUCCCUUCUCAGAAACUAACUGAAUUCCAGUGGGUGUGCCUGGCAAACCCAAACACGGUUUUCCGUUCAGGAUGCUGGUCUUACCUGUGAAGGCGUUCAUGAACGUGGAGAGGGACCGGUUCAACACUUUGAAGAAAGGGUCUCUGCACGGAUAUUUCCGAGACCCACAAAUGACGGUAUGCUUAAGAAUGUGAGGAACAACGGUACUGUCCAUGGGAGUGGUACGGAACUGCACGCUAAGGAAGAAGGAACGGCAUGCCAGGGAAGGGGGGGAACAAGAAACAGAAGGCUAGGGAAGGGGGAGGAACAGAACGCUAGGGAAGGAGAAUGACUAGAAUACAAAACGUUAAUCUUAGUGCUGCGGACACCCUUCCCAGAUGCAUCAUCACCUCGGGCUACUAGAAAUCAUCAUUCUGACACCACAAUCCUCCAACCCAGGGUUUCCCAACUCUAAUGUAAAUCAUUGAUUUAGACUAUAAAAUUGUAUUUUGAUGAGAUUGUAAGUCCAUGUAAGCUUUUCCUUAUUUUUCAAGAUGCUCUGUCAAUAAAAAUACUAGUGAGAUGAUAUUUAAA